rnacentral:tRNA from 1 species
UCCCUGGUAGCUCAGAGGUUAAAGUGUCUGCCUGCAAUGUGGGAGAUCUGGGUUCGAUUCCUGGCUCAGGAA